GGGCUGCAGUCGAGAAUAUUCCUCAAUGGCCGAAAGGCUGAAGGAGCGACGUCGCGUGCAUGAAGACGCUCUUCGGAGUGUAAAGUGCUUUUAUCUGGGAAGAAACAAUGACUGUACCAGAUGAAUAAGGGGCUGCUAACCUCGUGCCAGCAGCAGCGGUAAUACGAGGGCCCCAAGCGUUAUCCGGAUUUAUUGGGCGUAAAGAGCACGUAGGCGGUUUAUCGCAUCUCCUGUUAAAUCUCGGAGCUCAACUUCGGGACCGCGGGAGAGAUGGAUAGACUAGAGAUCGGGAUAGGCAAGUGGAAUUGCUGGUGUAGGGGUUAAAUCCGUUAAUAUCAGCAGGAACACCAAAUGCGAAGGCAACUUGCUAGAACGAUUCUGACGCUGAGGUGCGAAAGCGUGGGGAGCGAAUGGGAUUAGAUACCCCUGUAGUC
rnacentral:rRNA from 1 species